rnacentral:tRNA from 1 species
GCGGGAAUAGCUCAGUAGGUAGAGCACGACCUUGCCAAGGUCGGGGUCGCGAGUUCGAAUCUCGUUUCCCGCUCCA